GACGAACGCUGGCGGCGUGCCUAACACAUGCAAGUCGAACGGAAAGGCCCUGCUUUUGUGGGGUGCUCGAGUGGCGAACGUGAGAGUCACACGUGAGUAACCUGCCCUUGACUGUGGUAUAACUGCAGGAAACUGGGGCUAAUACCGUAUAGGAGCUCCUGCUGCAGGGUGGGGGGUGGAAGGUUUCGGCGGUUGGGGAUGGACUCGCGGCUUAUCAGCUUGUUGGUGGGGUAGUGGCUUACCAAGGCAUUGACGGGUAGCCGGCCUGAGAGGGCGACCGGCCAGAUUGGGACUGAGACACGGCCCAGACUCCUACGGGAGGCAGCAGUGGGGAAUCUUGCACAAUGGGCGGAAGCCUGAUGCAGCAACGCCGCGUGCGGGAUGAAGGCCUUCGGGUUGUAAACCGCUUUCAGCUGUGACGAAGCGAGAGUGACGGUAAUGGGUAAAGAAGCACCGGCUAACUACGUG
rnacentral:rRNA from 1 species